GGUGCUGCAUGGCUGUCGUCAGCUCGUGUCGUGAGAUGUUCGGUUAAGUCCGCUAACGAGCGCAACCCUCACUGUGUGUUAUAUGUGUCGACACGGGACUGCCGGUUUAAGCCGGAGGAAGGUGGGGAUGACGUCAAGUCAGCAUGGCCUUUAUAUCCUGGGCUACACACACGCUACAAUGGUCGGUACAAUAGGUUGCCAAGCCGCGAGGCGGAGCCAAUCCACAAAGCCGGCCUCAGUUCAGAUUGUAGGCUGCAACUCGCCUGCAUGAAGAUGGAGUUGCUAGUAACCGCAGGUCAGCUAUACUGCGGUGAAUACGUUCCCGGGGCUU
rnacentral:rRNA from 1 species